UGUGACUAAUAGUUCAGUUCAGUUUUUCUGCACCCUCCAGGGAGAUGUCCAUGCCUCCUUUUAGUGCACUGGCUUGUAACCUUCCUGGGGAACAAUUAUUCCAUUACUCGGAAACGAGCUUACCACAUGCAAGCAGGGCUACGUGUGCCCAAUGAAAAUCCAGAAAAUGUCCCCCAUCACCCUUACACGCUCAUUCCUCCCCCCUCCCUUCGCCGCCCCUCACGGAACCCUGAGCAUCCUCCUGUUGACUAAAUUUCCCCGAUGACGUCAGAGUGCACGUACAUCGUCCAUGAAAGUGAUGCUUCUGAAUGAAUGAGUGUCUCCUCCCACCUCCAAUACUAGUACUACGGGGUGUCUAUAAGAGCAGAUCGCCGGGACAGCCCGCUGAAUUGCAUGACAUGAGGAGUGAGGUGCAGGUGCGAGAAGCGAGCUUUUAAACGAUCAAUCAAAAUCCGACAUUAUUUUUACAAGAAUGACGUAGCAGUGCUGACCAUGGGGUCAGUUAUAAUCAAUGUCGUUAAACUGCAGAAAUCUCCGCUGGACUUAAGAAGACCAUGGGGGUCGUGGGAAGAGCCUGGAUUGGUCGGCAGUCAAUCGCAGGGCAUAUCCAUACCCAUACAUAUGUGCAAAUCUACAUGUAUACAUGUACAUAUUUAGAUAAACAUACACAGGAGUAACUGAAUUAUAGGAACCUAAUUGAUUUAAACACAUGGUAUCAAUAAUUACAUCUGAGAGCUGUUAUACUAAGUACAACAUAUUUGAAUAUAUUUUAAGAAAGCUUUUCAUAUGUGCUGUACAAUUGAGAAGGAAUAUUACAGGAGGAGGGAAGACUCCUUGACAGGUAGGUGAAAGUCAGCAAAAGAUUUCCUAAAAAAGAUGUUAGUUCUGAUAUUCACUCCUCGUCCUUUUGGUUUUAACAAUUCUUGAAGUAAUUUCCCCAUUCAAAGAUAUGCAAGUUUUAAUAGAAGCCAUGUAAUGUCUUUUUUCCUAUUAAUAAAUUGAUAAAUCAAUAAAAUAUGAGAUUGUGUCUUUUUCAGUAAUAACAUGUCAAACUAUUUUUAAGGUGAGUGUCUGCCACGCAGCAGACUUUUAGUGUGGCGGACACUUCAGAACCCAAUGUGCAUGUGCUGGUUUAAGAACUGAAAUGAAUUGAUCAUCACAAACACAUCAAACCUCGUCCUGAGGCUGUAGCUGCCAUCUUCUGGUUGAGGCUCCUUCCUGUAGAUGAGUGUCCAUUUUCUCUGCACUGGAAGACAUCAUAUCAUGCUGAAGUCCUUUCCAGCCGCACCUAGACCGGCUGUUCAGAGACCAAGAGUGAAAACAUGAAAUUGGAACCGUUGCUGAUUAUAAUAUUCAACUCAAGGUAGAAUUUCCAACACAAUCAGAGGUGAAUAGUAAUUGCUGAUGUGAAAAGUGAAAGAAGUAACAUACAUUCAGGCGUAGCGUAUGUCUGUGUACAGAUAUUGAUCAAAUAUUUAACUUUUAUGUUUGAGGCCAUUAUAAACCGGAGAAAGAAAGUAGGUGAAUGUGUCUUUCACAUACUUAAUGUCCAUAUGGGAUUAUUUGAUGAAUUGUUCUUUAUGUGGCCAGAUACUUAAAAAAGUUUACAAUGAUAAGAACCAUACUUUUCAGUGGGGUUUAACCAUUCUUAUGUAACAAUAACCAUUAAA